AUACGGAGGGUGCAAGCGUUAAUCGGAAUUACUGGGCGUAAAGCGUACGUAGGCGGUUCGUUAAGUUAGAUGUGAAAGCCCCGGGCUUAACCUGGGAACUGCAUUUAAAACUGGCGGACUAGAGUUGAGUAGAGGGAAGUGGAAUUUCAGGUGUAGCGGUGAAAUGCGUAGAGAUCUGAAGGAACACCAGUGGCGAAGGCGACUCCCUGGACUCGAACUGACGCUGAGGUACGAAAGCGUGGGUAGCAAACAGGAUUAGAAACCCGAGUAGUCC
rnacentral:rRNA from 1 species